AACUCCUACGGGAGGCAGCAGUAGGGAAUCUUCCACAAUGGACGCAAGUCUGAUGGAGCAACGCCGCGUGAGUGAAGAAGGUUUUCGGAUCGUAAAGCUCUGUUGUUGGUGAAGAAAGAUAGUGAGAGUAACUGCUCAUUAUUUGCCGGUAAUCAACCAGAAAGUCACGGCUAACUACGUGCCAGCAGCCGCGGUAAUU
rnacentral:rRNA from 1 species